GAANUACCGGUACUCGCGUAAUGCAUCUAGAUUAGNUAGUUGAUCUAUGGCUCAGCAACUCGNACCGGCUCGGUCGUGCAGCACGCUUAACACAUGCAAGUCGCACGAGAAAGUGGGAAACCAUGAGUACAGUGGCGUACGGGUGAGUAACACGUGGGUGAUCUACCUCUUAGUGGGGAAUAACCUGGGGAAACCCGGGCUAAUACCGCAUAAGCUCGAGAGAGGAAAGCAGCAAUGCGCUGAGAGAGGAGCCCGCGGCCGAUUAGCUAGUUGGUAGGGUAAGAGCCUACCAAGGCAGAGAUCGGUAGCCGGCCUGAGAGGGCACACGGCCACACUGGCACUGAAACACGGGCCAGACUCCUACGGGAGGCAGCAGUGGGGAAUCUUGCACAAUGGGGGAAACCCUGAUGCAGCGACGCCGCGUGAGCGGUGAAGCCCUUCGGGGUGUAAAGCUCUUUCGUCAGGGAAGAUGAUGACGGUACCUGGAGAAGCAGCUGCGGCUAACUACGUGCCAGCAGCCGCGGUAAUACGUAGGCAGCG
rnacentral:rRNA from 1 species